rnacentral:rRNA from 1 species
AUUGAACGCUGGCGGCAUGCCUAACACAUGCAAGUCGAACGGCAGCACAGAGGAGCUUGCUCCUUGGGUGGCGAGUGGCGGACGGGUGAGUAAUGCAUCGGGAUCUACCCUGACGUGGGGGAUAACCUCGGGAAACCGGGACUAAUACCGCAUACGUCCUACGGGAGAAAGCGGGGGACCUUUUAGGCCUCGCGCGGCAGGACGAACCGAUGUGCGAUUAGCUAGUUGGCGGGGUAAUGGCCCACCAAGGCGACGAUCGCUAGCUGGUCUGAGAGGAUGAUCAGCCACACUGGGACUGAGACACGGCCCAGACUCCUACGGGAGGCAGCAGUGGGGAAUAUUGGACAAUGGGCGCAAGCCUGAUCCAGCAAUGCCGCGUGUGUGAAGAAGGCCUUCGGGUUGUAAAGCACUUUUAUCAGGAGCGAAAUCUGCAUGCUUAAUACGUGUGCAGUCUGACGGUACCUGAGGAAUAAGCACCGGCUAACUUCGUGCCAGCAGCCGCGGUAAUACGAAGGGUGCAAGCGUUAAUCGGAAUUACUGGGCGUAAAGGGUGCGUAAGCGGUUGUUUAAGUCUGUCGUGAAAUCCCCGGGCUCAACCUGGGAAUGGCGAUGGAUACUGGGCAGCUAGAGUGUGUCAGAGGAUGGUGGAAUUCCCGGUGUAGCGGUGAACUGCGUAGAGAUCGGGAGGAACAUCAGUGGCGAAGGCGGCCAUCUGGGACAACACUGACGCUGAAGCACGAAAGCGUGGGGAGCAAACAGGAU